AGCGAACGCUGGCGGCAGGCCUAACACAUGCAAGUCGAACGAACCUUUCGGGGUUAGUGGCGGACGGGUGAGUAACACGUGGGAACGUGCCUUUAGGUUCGGAAUAACUCAGGGAAACUUGUGCUAAUACCGAAUGUGCCCUUCGGGGGAAAGAUUUAUCGCCUUUAGAGCGGCCCGCGUCUGAUUAGCUAGUUGGUUGAGGUAAUGGCUCAUCAAGGCGACGAUCAGUAGCUGGUCUGAGAGGAUGAUCAGCCACAUUGGGACUGAGACACGGCCCAAACUCCUACGGGAGGCAGCAGUGGGGGAUCUUGCGCAAUGGGCGAAAGCCUGACGCAGCCAUGCCGCGUGAAUGAUGAAGGUCUUAGGAUUGUAAAAUUCUUUCACCGGGGACGAUAAUGACGGUACCCGGAGAAGAAGCCCCGGCUAACUUCGUG
rnacentral:rRNA from 1 species